AAACUUAAAGGAAUUGACGGGGACCCGCACAAGCGGUGGAUGAUGUGGAUUAAUUCGAUGCAACGCGAAAAACCUUACCUACCCUUGACAUGCCUGGAACCCUGGAGAGAUCUGGGGGUGCCCGAAAGGGAGCCGGGACACAGGUGCUGCAUGGCUGUCGUCAGCUCGUGUCGUGAGAUGUUGGGUUAAGUCCCGCAACGAGCGCAACCCUUGUCACUAGUUGCUACGCGAGGGCACUCUAGUGAGACUGCCGGUGACAAACCGGAGGAAGGUGGGGAUGACGUCAAGUCCUCAUGGCCCUUAUGGGUAGGGCUUCACACGUCAUACAAUGGUCGGUACAGAGGGUUGCCAAGCCGCGAGGUGGAGCCAAUCCCAGAAAGCCGAUCGUAGUCCGGAUUGCAGUCUGCAACUCGACUGCAUGAAGUCGGAAUCGCUAGUAAUCGCGGAUCAGCAUGUCGCGGUGAAUACGUUCCCGGGUCUUGUACACACCGCCCGUCACACCAUGGGAGUGGGGUUCACCAGAAGUAGGUAGCCUAACCGCGAGGGGGGCGCUUACCACGGUGAGCUUCAUGACUGGGGUGAAGUCGUAACAAGGUAGCCGUAUCGGAAGGUGCGGCUGGAUCACCUCCUUUAUG
rnacentral:rRNA from 1 species